ensembl:lncRNA
GGUGCUUCUACCAAACGUCUGUUGGCACGGUAACAGGUGCUGAUAGUUAAGGCUCUGACUGACACCCUUUUUAAAAUGAGCAGCGAACAGUCUGUGCACGCUGGACAUCCCGCAGGAUUUAUAAGAGUGCUGUGUGGAAACCCAAGUCUGCGACACCAGGGCCUUGUCUAAGUUUAGUGCCGUUUACCUGUUAAACUGACAGAAAAGUCUGCUGCACGAGAUCUCAAGUUUGUCGGCUGCUUCACUGCUGCGCUGGAGUGGAGGGCUGCUGUGAGAUCCCCCGCUUCUGCGUUCCGCUGCUGUGAGAUCCCCCGCUUUUGCGUUCUGUUGCUGUGAGAUCCCUCGAUUCUGCGUUCCGCUGCUGUGAGAUGCCCAUGAAAGAUAAUAUCCGAGUCGUCCGACGGCUGAGGGAAGCGGCGUGGCACACGGUCUGGGAGCUAGGUUCGUCUGCUCCCAGUUCAAUGAGUUGCAAGAUGGCGUCCACCAUGCCUUCAUCGAGCAGUACGGAAGACGAAGAAAAUACACCGGAAUGUCUUAAUAAAUCAAAAAACAAACAUUGUUUUAUGCAUAUUACUUCAGUCAAGCACGAGGAGGUACAUUAUUUCACCACUACACGAUGGAAUACAUACAGGACAAGCCUACAAACGUGGCUCGGGUUGGAGUCUCGAGACAUGGCUGAGAACUUCAAACACUGUGUUGAUGUGGAGUUUGAAAAUAUUCUCGAGGAUGCUGGCUUCCAUCACACAUGCUACCGUAGAUUUACGGACAAAAAAUCCAUCGCAAAGGUGGAAAGACGUCUCGCACGUGAGCGACAAGAAGCGACGGAAGAUCAUGAGGCCAUUCCAUCGACUUCUAGAGUCCAACAAAGAAACUGCGAUCCAGGUCAGGGCUGCCAAUCGCAGGCUCUGGCCCCGUUGUUCCUGCCCUGUGCAUAAUUUGCCAAAAAAGGAGAAGUUCAUCAACCGAGCAGGCAAACGACAAAGGGAUCCUCUGUCAAAGGCUGAAACAUUAACAGCAGCUAAGGUAACCCAGGGUACUGUGACAAAGCCCGCUACUCCCCGCUGACCGUCGGAGGUCCACCCCGUCCUAAGUCCCUCCGCCAAAGCUAAGUAGCCUCAGUAGGAUAGCCACACUAUUAAAUCCUCUCCCUGCCUCUUUACUGUCAAGUGUUUUGCUAACCCCAGUGCCUCUAUCUCUCUCCCUGGACAGGUGCAGUGAGUUUCACUUGAGCGACAGGCUGACCCCCAGGUGGUGGAGCCCACCCCCUCACUUUUCCUUGCUGUGUGCAUAACGGUUGCCCUAUUUUGGAGUGCAGUGCUUACUGGUUUUAUGCAUGUGUGGUGUGUGUCUUCUGGGCCUCUCCUGUCCCCCUCUUGGAAAGUCCUGCUCGCUGCGGGUGACUACCUAGGUGGCGUAGUCGACAAUUAAAACUAUCCUAGUAAACUACCUCGCCACUGUCACACAUAUAAAAGACAAAGACUGUGUGGCUCUGGAGGUGCAGUACCACGAAGGCUGUUAUAAUCAGUACAUCAGGUUUUUGACAAGGCCUGAAAAACCAGAGAAAGAACAGAAUGAGCCCACGUUUGAUGUCAGCUAUAAGAUAUUCUGUGAGAGGAUCAUUCGCCAAAGGCUGCUUGUCAACCAAGAGGUGCUGAGAAUGGGCCAGCUGAGGAAGGCCUUCAUUGAACUGGUGAAAGCAAAUGAAGGUCUUGAUGUUUCAAACUACAGACAGGAUAUGUUGAAGAAGAGGCUGACUCGUGAUUUCCCCCAGCUGGUGUUUCACAUGCCCUUGGUGCGCAACAUCUGCAAGCUGGUUUUUACAGAGACCCUGUCAGAACUUGGGUCAACAAGUGCAGGCAGCAACAUGCAGAAUGGACACCCACUUUGCUGCACAAGCUGAAUUGGCAUAUGUUUUUGUGAAGUCCACAGAUACGGAUAGAUGUGCAAUCCCAAGCUGGACAGGUUUCCAUACACUGCUUCUAUGGGGCGCCGUUUGUAAAAUGUUGCACGUUCGAAAAUCCUGCUCAGUUUUGCUACAUUUAGCAUUUUCAUAUGGAACAAAAAGCACGACAAUAUUCGAAUGUCACUUUUUCAAGCAUUUAG